GGUCAGAUGGCCGAGUGGUUAAGGCGCUAGCUUCAGGUGCUAGUGGAGUCAUCCUCGUGGGUUCGAGUCCCACUCUGAUCA